CUACCCGAUCCACUUUCCUUUCUCCCUCUCUCUCUCUCGCAUGCUCUCUGCUAGCCCGAAUGGCUGCCCUCCGAUGGUCGCCGCCGUGUAGGCACCGGAUCAAGAGUACCAGACACCGCCGAAACUCCAGCCUCACGAGCUCUUCGUUGCCGUUCUCCGCCGCGAGCAGAAGCCUCCAGGCUCGUACGUCACCGCCGUGGCUUCAAGGCCAAUUUCUGGCCUCCUCUGACAUCGUCUCAGGCGAAGGGUACCAUGGGUGAACUCAGGGUAUCAAGACGAACAAAGCCCAUCCAAGGAUCGGGCUUUUAAGUGACCGAAGGAGACGGAAUCAGCUCUCCAUUUGCUGCUUGUAGUCUUCUUCUCGAGAGCUGAAAAUACGAGGAGUGUACUCAAUGGGAAUAGCUCAAAUAAUUAGACCAAGUUCUAAAUGUCAUGUUCAUCCACAUGAGAGGGGUAUAGUUGAUUUCCACCCUAUAUAUUUCCAUUCAAAUGAGGCUAGUGGAUCUAUGAAACCAAUUACUUAUGGUUCCAUAUAAUUAACGACAGUUGACCAAUCAAGAUUUAGAAGGACUCGAGUUACUGAGGGUGAUUCACCAAGUCUUCUGUGCAAGAUAUACGCAUCAACCUUGCAAUAUCUGCUGUCUUUGGUUUUGAUGAAUACAUGAAUUUGGUUCUUGAUGAUGCUGAAGAAGUCAAUGUCAAGAAUUUGGGGCUCGGUAGGGACGGUGGCUGGGCUGGGCUCGGGGCUGGCUGGUGGGGUUCUCAACUUCACGGCGGCGACACUAUAGCUCACGGCGGCAGCAAGUAUUUAUUUUAUUUCUUGAUUUUUUUAUGUUAAAAUAUGUUUCAUUUGAUUGUGUUGGAUAUGUUCAGAUCUGAUUUUGAGCCUAGACUAAUAAUGAAUAUCAUCUUUAGUGUAUUUUGCUUAUGCUUUAAUGGCUUUAUACUUGUGUUUCACUA